rnacentral:rRNA from 1 species
CAGCAAUAGCUCAAAUUUGAAAUCUGGCGUCUUCGGCGUCCGAGUUGUAAUUUGUAGAGGAUGCUUCUGAGUAACCACCGACCUAAGUUCCUUGGAACAGGACGUCAUAGAGGGUGAGAGCCCCGUACAGUUGGACACUAAGCCCAUGUGAAGCUCCUUCGAC